rnacentral:tRNA from 1 species
GCCGAAGUGGUGGAAUUGGUAGACACGCCAUCUUGAGGGGGUGGUGGGCGCGAGCCUGUGGGGGUUCGAGUCCCCCCUUCGGCA